rnacentral:lncRNA from 13 species
GCAAGAUGCGUAUUAAGAUAUUUUACCACCCCUGCGUUGCCUUCCAACCAAUCAAACGGAAGCUCACUUUCUGUUACAUUUAUCCACCUUCAAAUGAAGUGGACACCAAUGGUGUGGAAAGAGAAGAUAUCAAAUGUUUAUGAAACCUCUGCCUAUUUGCUUUCUCUGGUAUGACUGCAAAACCUACACUAACACCACAUCAGACAAGUAAACGGAAUAAAUUCUACUCACAGAUCGGCGACUACUAAGGCCAGUGAUCUCAUGGACAGCAGCCCCCUAAGGAACAUUGGAAGAGGCAAACAUGGCAAAAUCAAGAAACCACGUGGGGGACUUCUUGGAGGAGUUCAGAGAGCAGAUCAUUGCGCAGGUGAGAUUAUCUGGGCCCAUAGUAGACGCUGUGAUCUCACAACAUCUUAUCCCAGAAGAGCUGGCACACAGCGCCCGUGCAGCCCAGACCACACAAGACCAGAUGAGGGCUCUGUUUGAAGCCGUAGAGAGAGAGACACCACAAACCAAACUUGCAUUCCAUCUGAUAUUGAGACGGAAAGAGCCUGAACUCAUGGACAAGCUAGAGCAGAGACAACGAAACAGUAAGAUGACACAGACAGGAUUGGAUCAAAGGUAUGGAGAUACCACAACAUUAGAGGAUAAGACCACACCAAAACUUGGCAUACAGACAAAAAAGGAAUCUCUUAAGAGACGAAGACAAGAAACAAUGCAAGCAAUUGAGGAGAUUGAAAAACUUUGGGAGGGGUCAAGAAGGGAGAGAAAUGAAACUAACUACAUGAAAGCAAAGAUUAAGCAACAACAAGAGGAAAUAGAAAGGCUAAUGGCUGAGAAACAAGAGCAAAACACAAAGAUGGAGCUGAUGAGGAUGGAGAUCCAGAAUGUGAAUGAAAAACUGAAACAGAACAUGGAGGAAAUAAAUAUAGAGAAAGACGGAAUACGACAAAUGUGGGCUGAUGUCCAAACAGAGAAAGACAUUCUGGAGAGAAGAUACAAUGAGACCAUUAACGAGAGACAGAGUUUGGAAUUGAUCAAGUAUGAGACAUUGAGAGCAAAAGAGGAGAUGGAGCACUGCAAGGAAACAACCAAACAAGAGCAGGAGAAAAUGGAACAGAUUAAGGCUGACAUUCAGGGACAGAUAGAGGACAUGGAAAUAAGAAUUGCAGAAACCAAUCAAGUAAAAGAAAAAAUGGAAGCGAUGAAGGCCGAUGUACACAGGGAGCAAGGUCAGCUGGAGACAAAAAGAGAUGACAUUAAAAGACAAAAAGAACAGUUUGAGCAGAUUAAAUGUGAGAUAAACAAAGUAAAAGAAGAGAUGGAUCGAAGGUGGUAUGAAACGGAGAAAGAAGAGCUUGAGCAGAGAGUUAGGAUCCAGCAAGAGAAAGAGGAACUUGCCAACGUAAAAGCUGAGCUGCAGAGAGCUAAAGAGGAGGUGGAUCAAAACAGGGAGAAGACGAAGCAAGAGAAGGACCUGGUCAACAAAAUGAAAGCAGAGAUUCUUCUAGAAAAGGAUUCACUUGAGAAGGACAAACAAGAAACAUUACGAAAACAAAAGGAGUUGGAGCAGAUCAAGUAUGCGAUUCAAAUGGACAAAGAGGAGAUUGAGCAAAACAGAGAGGAAGCAAAGCGAGAGAAUGAUAAGAUGGAACAGAGGGAAGCUGAACUGCAGAGACAAGUGGAAAACAUUGAGAGAAACAUUGAGGAGACAAAGCAAGAAAAUUACAGAAUGGAAAACGUAAAAGCAGAGAUACAGAGAACGAAAGAAGCCCUGGAGAAACAAAAAGAUGACACCAGGCGAGUGAAGGAGGAAAUGGAGAAAAGAAGGUAUGAGACUGUCAAGGAGGAGCUGGAGCAGAGAGCUGAAAUACAGAGACAGAGAGAAGAAGUGGAAAUGCUCAAGUCUGAAAUGCAGAAAGCCAAGGACGUUGAAAAAACAAGAGGAAACCGAGAGAGAGAGGAAGCCAAAAAGUGGAGUGAAGAAGUAAAGCGACAGAGAGAUGGGAUCAAACAAUUGAGAGCUGAAGUUCAGAAGGAAAAAGACAACGUGGAGAGGAAAAAGCAAGAGACAAUGAGAGAGAGACAAGAAUUGGAGAGGAUUCAUUUUGAAACGCUGAGAAUGAAAGAGGAGAAUGAGCAAAGCAGGGAGAUCACAAGAAGAGAAAAGGAGCAAAUGGAGCAGAUGAAAGUUAAUAUACAGAGACAGAUAGAAGAUAUAGAAGAAAAAGUUACAGAGACAAAACAAGCAAAAGACAAAAUGGAAGAAAUGAAAGCAGAGAUACAGAGACAACGUGAAGAUUUGGAGAGUAGAAGGGAAAAGACAGAGAAAGAGAGAGAGCAUUAUGAAGAGGUUAAGUGUGAGAUAAUUCAAUUGAAAGAGGAAAUGGAAAGGAAAUGGUGUGAAACAGAGAAAGACGAGGUGGAACAGAGAGCAAGAGCGCAGCAAGAGACGGAAACACUUGAAAGGUUGAAGGAGGAAAAACAGAAAGUGCGAGAGGAAAUAGAAAGAAACAAGGUGGAAACGCAACGAGAAAGAGAGAACCUAGAAAAAAUGAAAGCCCGUGUGAAAGACGAGAAGAACAUUGCAGAGAAAAUAUCAGAAGAGGCCAAGAUAAAGAAUGAGGACUUAACGGAAAUGGAGCGUAACCUUCAGGAAGAAAGGGAAGAGAUCGAGAGGAGCAAGCAAGUCACAAAGCAAGAGAAGGAAGAGAUCGUAGAGAUGAAGGCUGAACUCCAAAGACAAAUGACAGAAAUAGAGAACCGUGUGAAGGAGACAAACAGAGCAAAAUAUGAGGUGGAUCAGGCAAAGCUGGUCGUACAAAAAGUGGAGUCCCAGCUGAAAAAGCAAAGAGACGAGGCUGGAAGAACAAAAGAGGAAAUUGAGAAACAGAGAUAUGAAGCAGUGAAAGAAGAGCUUGAGCAACGAGCUGAAAUCCAACGAGAAAGAGAAAUGUUGGAGAAAGUAAGAGACGAGAUACGGAGAGCCGAAGAAGACUCCGAAGAAACACAGCUUCAGAGCGAAAGAGGGGACUUACAAAAGAAGAUGAAUGAAACACAGCAAGAGAGGGAGAUGCUUGAGCAAAUUAAAACAGAGGUUUUGUCAGAAAGGGCCAUGUUGAAAAGACAAAUCCAUGAAACCGCAAGAGAAAGAGAGGACUUGGAAUUGCUUCGGUGUGAGACCCUGAAGAAAAAGCUGGAGCUUGAGAAAAAGAAGGAUGAAGCUGUCAAGGAAGAGCUUGAACUGAGAGCUGAAAUACAGAGAGAUAGAGAAGAGAUAGAGAGAACCAAGAAGAAAAUAGAGAGGGAGUUAAAACAAGGCAGGGAUGCCACAAGUCUAGAGAGAGGCGAAGUGGAACGGAUGAAGGUUGAAGUACAGAACCAGCAUGAGGAAAUGACUAGAUCCAUUGAGAGGACAAGGCAAGCCAGAGACGUGAUGGAACAGAUGAAGGAUGAAAUUCAGAGAGAAAAACAACUUUUGGAGAGAAUAAGGGAAGAAACAAUAAGAGAGAAAGAACCCUAUGAAACGGUCAAGGAUGAGCUAAACAGAGUAAAAGAAGAGAUGGAAAAACUCUGGGACGAGGUACAGAGGGACGAGCAGGAAGAGAGAGCCAAACUGCAUCAAGAAAAUGUGGAGCUGAAUAAGAGAAUGGAGGAAAUUAAGACAGAGAUUAACCAGAUAGAAACAAUUAAAUUUGACCUAGAGAGACAGAGAGAUGAGAUUGAAGCAAGGAUGGAGAAGACAAAGAGAGAGAUGGACAAGCUGGAACAAACAAAGGCUGAAAUACAAAGACAGAAAGAGGACAUUGAAAACAAGAUGACAGAAACAAAGAGUGAGAAAGAGGAGAUGGAAAAGAUCAAAUCUGAGAUACAGAAGCAGAAAGAGGACAUUGAAAAAAAAAUGCAACAAGCAGAGACAGAAAUGGAUGAGCUGAAAAGUGUGAGGGAAGAUAUUCAGAGGCAGAGACAAGAGGUUGAGAACAUGAUGCAGAAGGCCAAGAGAGAGAUUGGAGAGAUGGAACUAGUGAAGACUGAGAUGCAAAGGAAGAAAAAGGACCUUGAACAGAUGAUGAGAAAGACUAAGAGAAAAAAGGAAGAAAUGGAAAAGAUGAAGGAUGAAAUAGAGAGAGCGGAAGAAGAGAUGGAACAAAGAAGGGAAGAGACCAAAAGGGAGAGAGAUGCAAUUGAACAGGCGAAGGCUGAAAUAGAAAGAGCAAAAGAGGAACUGGAGAUUCGUCUGGAAGAGGGCUUUAGAGAUAUUGAUGAGAAGGAACAGAUGAACGCUGAGAUACAGAGAUUAAUCCAAGAGGUAGAGCGAACCAGAGAAAUGGUACGACAAACAAAAGUGGCAAUGGAAAACAGGAUGGAAGAAAGCAAUAUGGAGAUGUGUGACAAAGACAGAGUGAAUGCUGUAAUCCAGAGGUUGAUUCUAGAGGUAGAGCGAACCAGAGAAAUGGUACGACAAACAAAAGUGGCAAUGGAAAACAGGAUGGAAGAAAGCAAUAUGGAGAUGGGUGACAAAGACAGAGUGAAUGCUGUAAUCCAGAGGUUGAUUCUAGAGGUGGAACAAACCAGAGAGGUGUUAAGAAGGGUGAAAGAAGAAAUGGAACUGAGCAAGGGGGAGUUAAAAGGGGAAAAGGACAAAAUCAGACUGAUGAAGACGGAGACACAAAAAAGAAAAAAAGAACUGCAGCAAAGGAUGGAGAAGAUCAUGCGAGAGAGGGAUGAGUUAGAACUGGUGAAGUCAAAGAUACAGAGACAACGGGAAGAGCUGAAACAGAAGAUGGAAGAUGGAAAGACUGAGAGUGAAAAGAUGGAACAGAUGAAAGAUGAAAUACAGAGAGCGGUUGCAGAGAUAGACCUGGCAAGGGAGGAGAUACAAAGGGAAAAAAGGAAGAUUAAAGAGGACAAUGCAAGGGAAGAGAAGGAUAUGAUGGAGUCUAUGAAAGCUGAGCUUGACAGACAGAAAGAGGGAAAAAACAGAAGGAAAAAAGAAAUGCCAAUGAUGAAGACCACGGUCCAGAGGCCACAGGAUGAAACAGAGAAAGCCUACCUUGGAGAUACGACAACUGAGAUACCAUUUGAGUCACAAGAGCUAAGAACCGCCAUUGAAAAAGAAAGAAGAGACUUGGAACGCAGAGAGAAAAUGAUUAUGAGAGAGAAGUAUGACCUGGAAAAGUCAAAAGCCGAGUUUGAGAAGGAAAAGGCGGGGAUGGAGAACAUGAUCACAAAACAACGAGAGGAGAGCAGACAAAUGAUUGAGGACAUAGAAAAGAAAAAAGAAAAUCUCGAGCAAAUGGAUGCAGAGAUGCAAAGGAAAAGACAGGUCAUCGUAAGGGAAAUGCAAUAUAAAACACAAAAGAUGCAGGAUUUAAAAAAAGCAAAAGAUAAAUUUAAACAAACGCAAGUUAAAUUUAGCAAAGAGAAAAUUGAAAUGGGAAACAUCAAAAAGGCUACCUUGGCGGAAAGAAAUAAACUAGCAGUAGAGCAAGCUUACAUAGAGAAACGUAAGGAGGAGAUGGAAGCCAUCCUGGAAACGACAAAGAAGGAGAAUGAAGAUCUGCUGAACUUAAAAGCUCAAAUAGAGGGAUGGAAAGAAGACAAAGACGAACGGGGUGAACGCCUGAACAGGGAGAGAAAGGAACUUGAAUAUCUGAAAAGUAAGAUUCAAAAAGAAAAAGAGGAUACGAUAAGAAACAGGAACAUUUCGGAAAAAGAGAAAAAGGACUUGGAGCUGAUGAGAUCUGAAAUGCAGAAAGAAAAGGGGAAGAUGGAACAAGAGAAGCUUAAGGUACAAGUUGAGAGACAAAAGCUUGAACAAAUGAAACUGGAGUUACAGAGAAAGUCCAACGACCUAGAUAUGAUCAUAGAAGACACAAAGAGGGAGAAAGUCAGUGCAUCACAAAUUCCUGUCCAAAUACAACAACAAAAUAACCAAAUUGAUUGUUUUGUGGAAGAGACAAAGAGGAGUAAAAUCGAAGAAGAAUUGAUGAGCGCUGAAAUAAAAAGACAGAAAGAGGAGAUAGACAGCAAACAAGACAUUCUAUCAAAUGAGAGAGAAGAUCUGAAUAAACUCAGAACAGAGGUAAACAAUCAGAGAGAAGAGAUUGAAAAUAUCACGCAAGAGCAAAUUAAAGAAACAUUUCUAAUUAAUCAGACAAAGACAGAGAUGGAAAAAGAGAGAUGUGAGAUGGACAGAAUAAAGAAAAUGAUAGAGCAGAAUAUGGAUGAGCUAGAGCAGAGAAAGUGUGAGAUGAGAAAAGUAGAAAACAUAAUUAUCGAACUGAGAAAAGAAGAAGAGAGUAUAACGAAUGAGAUGAACAGGAUGAGAAAGAACACAGAGCAGAAAAGUUUUGAAAUGCAGAGACGGUCUGAAGACAUGAAUCAGCUAAUGGAUGAGACAAGACGGGAGAGGGGGAAGGUUGAAGAACUGGCUAUCCAAACUCAAAAACAAAGAGAAGAAAUGGUGGGUUUUAUGGAAAAGAACAAACAAAAGCAGAACGAACUGGAACUCAUGACUGACAAGAUUGAAAGAGAGAAACAAGACAUCGAAGACAGUCGGGAUGUGCUAACAAAGGAGAGAGAGGAGCUGGAACAAAUGAGGAGUGAGAUACAGCAACAGAGAGAGGAGACAGAAUCUCACAUGGAAGACCAAAGGAAAGAGAAAGAACAUUUGGAACAAAUGAUGACGGACAUGAAAAAACAGUUGCUAGAGGUGGACAAUGACAAGGAAAUGAUACAAAGCUCAAUGGGUGAACUGAGAGUGAAAGAGGCAGAAAUGGUGAGAGAAAAAGACAACAUGGAUAACAAGAUGGCUAGGCUCAAAGAGGAAGAGGAUAGAAUGCGGGAAGAAAUAGGAAGGAAGAUGGACAUCUUAAAGCAGGAAAGUUGUGAAAUCAAAAGACUUAGAGAUGAAAUUGACAGUGAAAAGGACCAGCUGAAUGCAAAAUUGCUUGAGUUGGAAAAAAUGCGUGAAGAACUAGAUAGAGAGAAGAAGGAAGUGAAAGACAGGAAGGAUGAAACACUGAAAGAGAAAGAUCAGUUGGAAGAGAGGCGAGGUAAGAUAAGUAAGGAGAAAGAGGAUAUCAGUCUUGAACUGAUGAAAAGACAAAGGGAAGACUUGAUGAGCUUGAAGGCUGAAGCAGAAGUACAGACCAAGCCUAUGGAAACAGACUGGAAGGAAAAGCUCACGAGGGAAAGACAACAACUUGAAGAUGUAAAGGAGGAGAUACAGAAGGAAAAAGAAGCCCUUGAGAGAAAGAAGGGAUUGACCAUGAAAGAAAGAGAUGAGUUUGAUCUGAUGAAGUCUGAAACCCAGGGACAAUUGGAGGAAAUAGAACAAAACAAACAAGACAUUCGUGUGGAGAAGGAAAAGCUGGAUCAGAUCAAAGCUGAGUUAGAAAGACGGUCUGAAGACAUCAAUCAGCUCAUGGAUGAGACAAGACGGGAGAGGGGGAAGGUUGAAGAACUGGCUAUCCAAACUCAAAAACAAAGAGAAGAAAUGGUGGGUUUUAUGGAAAAGAACAAACAAAAGCAGAACGAACUGGAACUCAUGACUGACAAGAUUGAAAGAGAGAAACAAGACAUCAAAGACAGUCGGGAUGUGCUAACAAAGGAGAGAGAGGAGCUGGAACAAAUGAGGAGUGAGAUACAGCAACAGAGAGAGGAGACAGAAUCUCACAUGGAAGACCAAAGGAAAGAGAAAGAACAUUUGGAACAAAUGACGACGGACAUGAAAAAGAGAAACAAGACAUCGAAGACAGUCGGGAUGUGCUAACAAAGGAGAGAGAGGAGCUGGAACAAAUGAGGAGUGAGAUACAGCAACAGAGAGAGGAGACAGAAUCUCACAUGGAAGACCAAAGGAAAGAGAAAGAACAUUUGGAACAAAUGACGACGGACAUGAAAAAACAGUUGCUAGAGGUGGACAAUGACAAGGAAAUGAUACAAAGCUCAAUGGGUGAACUGAGAGUGAAAGAGGCAGAAAUGGUGAGAGAAAAAGACAACAUGGAUAACAAGAUGGCUAGGCUCAAUGAGGAAGAGGAUAGAAAGCGGGAAGAAAUAGGAAGGAAAAUGGACAUCUUAAAGCAGGAAAGUUGUGAAAUCACAAGACUUAGAGAUGAAAUUGACAGUGAAAAGGACCAGCUGAAUGCAAAAUGGCUUGAGUUGGAAAAAAUGCAUGAAGAACUAGAUAGAGAGAAGAAGGAAGUGAAAGACAGGAAGGAUGAAACACUGAAAGAGAAAGAUCAGUUGGAAGAGAGGCGAGGUAAGAUAAGUAAGGAGAAAGAGGAAUUGGAUAUCAGUCUUGAACUGAUGAAAAGACAAAGGGAAGACUUGAUGAGCUUGAAGGCUGAAGCAGAAGUACAGACCAAGCCUAUGGAAACAGACUGGAAGGAAAAGCUCACGAGGGAAAGACAACAACUUGAAGAUGUAAAGGAGGAGAUACAGAAGGAAAAAGAAGCCUUUGAGAGAAAGAAGGGAUUGACCAUGAAAGAAAGAGAUGAGUUUGAUCUGAUGAAGUCUGAAACCCAGGGACAAUUGGAGGAAAUAGAACAAAACAAACAAGACAUUUGUGUGGAGAAGGAAAAGCUGGAUCAGAUCAAAGCUGAGUUAGAAAGACGGUCUGAAGACAUCAAUCAGCUCAUGGAUGAGACAAGACGGGAGAGGGGGAAGGUUGAAGAACUGGCUAUCCAAACUCAAAAACAAAGAGAAGAAAUGGUGGGUUUUAUGGAAAAGAACAAACAAAAGCAGAACGAACUGGAACUCAUGACUGACAAGAUUGAAAGAGAGAAACAAGACAUCGAAGACAGUCGGGAUGUGCUAACAAAGGANNNNNNNNNNNNNNNNNNNNNNNNNNNNNNNNNNNNNNNNNNNNNNNNNNNNNNNNNNNNNNNNNNNNNNNNNNNNNNNNNNNNNNNNNNNNNNNNNNNNGAGAGAGAGAGAGAGAGAGAGAGAGAGAGUACAAACAGCAUACGUUAGCAAAGAUGGGCUAUUGGGCUACCAAGUGGAUCUAAGCUAAGAGCUUAUGUGUUAGGUUGACCAUGGUGUUGUGGCAAACCCACUAACCCCAUGAAGGGGUUUUUCCGGCCACCAUUUUGAUGGCGGUUUGUAAAAUGAUCUUGGAUUUUUCUGUCUGGAUGUGCAUGGCCAGUCAGCAAACACGGCAUUAGGCUAAAUGGGAUUGGCUCAAGGGUUCAGACAUGGUUUGAGAUGCAUUUGGAAAUGGUUUCAGGGUUCCGUUUCCAAGUUGAGAAAGAAGGUGAAGCAUAGAAUUAGAGGUAUAUCUGCAGUGUUAAUAGUAGAAGCAAGUAAUACCAUAUUAAUAGUAAUAACGUAUGUUGUUACCUCCAUAGAAAGGUGAGGGAAAGGUAUGUUACUGAAGUCCCGUUGAAAUGGAUGGUUUCGUCAGGAAUAAGUCUGCAAAACGUUUCCUUUUUCAGGUACUUGAGUGUAUUGGGACCUGCCAUUACCCCGUUAGCGCCGUAGGCUUUGACAUUGGUCGCAGCCAGAACAAAUCAUUUCAAAAAUAUAUGUUUUAUUUGGCUUUAAAAUCUCCAGAGUUCUUUUUUGCACAUAAAAAGCUAUCAAAUUCAGAGUGAGUCGGCGCUCUGUCUGGUGAGGGACUGUGAAUGUUUGUAGCUGUGUUGGUACUUGCGGUCAUGCUACCAAGUAUACUGUAUGUUUUGACUAUCCAGGCAGAGUUUUUAAUUCACCAGAUUCAGAUUCAUCAUUGUAUUUUAACACAACCAAAGGUUGGUAUUUACUUUCGUUACAGCAUGGUAAGAUAACUCUGAUAAAGUGCUCAACAAUGACAUACUAGACAAAAAUCUAUGGACUAACCACUGGGCACUGACAUCAUUUCAACGUCUAUUCCACGUUAGCUCAACGGUUCAAUUGCAGCAUCUAACAGGCAGUUUUCUGGUCCAGCUCCCUAACCACUCCAC